UACGAAGGGGGCUAGCGUUGUUCGGAAUUACUGGGCGUAAAGCGCGCGCAGGCGGCUAUCCAAGUCAGUGGUGAAAGCCCGGAGCUCAACUCCGGAACUGCCAUUGAAACUGUUUAGCUUAAGGAUGAGAGAGGUGAGUGGAAUUCCCAGUGUAGAGGUGAAAUUCGUAGAUAUUGGGAAGAACACCGGUGGCGAAGGCGGCGACGUGGUCCGAUACUGACGCUGAGGCGCGAAAGCGUGGGGAGCAAGCAGG
rnacentral:rRNA from 1 species